UUUGGCCUUUUCGAAGAACUUUGACUUCUAAACUUUAUAAAAUCUAUACCAAAUUUUAUUUUACACAAUUUAAAAGAAAAAAUUGAACGUAUAUCAAUUUAUUCAUCAAAAUCAGAUUUUAACUCAUUUGAACCUAUAGAAGGCUGCACUCUUGUUGCAUCUGCAUACUCAUUAUAAAAUUUAUAAGACAAGCAUAAAUAUCAUCAAUUUUCUUCUUGCUUCCUUCCACAUCAAAUGCUACUUAAUAACAAAAC
rnacentral:lncRNA from 1 species